ACGGAAGGCAGUAGUGGGGAAUAUUGCACAAUGGGGGAAACCCUGAUGCAGCAACGCCGCGUGAGUGAAGAAGUAUUUCGGUAUGUAAAGCUCUAUCAGCAGGGAAGAUAAUGACGGUACCUGACUAAGAAGCACCGGCUAAAUACGUGCCAGCAGCCGCGGUAAUACGUAUGGUGCAAGCGUUAUCCGGAUUUACUGGGUGUAAAGGGUGCGUAGGUGGCAUGGUAAGUCAGAUGUGAAAUACCGGGGCUCAACCCCGGGGCUGCAUUUGAAACUGCCAGGCUGGAGUACAGGAGAGGCAAGCGGAAUUCCUAGUGUAGCGGUGAAAUGCGUAGAUAUUAGGAGGAACAUCGGUGGCGAAGGCGGCUUACUGGGCUUUUACUGACGCUGAGGCUCGAAAGCGUGGGGAGCAAACAGGAUUAGAUACCCUGGUA
rnacentral:rRNA from 1 species